UACUUACAAUUAAAUAUUGCCUAUAUAUUUCCGUAAUAUGGUCGGACGUUUCUACCUCAUGCCGUAAAUAUGAGACUAUAAGCAUCGUUACAAUGAAC
rfam:Lactobacillus coleohominis DSM 14060 Scaffold46, whole genome shotgun sequence.